UACGUAGGGGGCAAGCGUUAAUCGGAAUUACUGGGCGUAAAGCGUGCGCAGGCGGCUUUGCAAGUCAGAUGUGAAAUCCCCGGGCUCAACCUGGGAACUGCAUUUGUGACUGCAUGGCUAGAGUGCGGCAGAGGGGGAUGGAAUUCCGCGUGUAGCAGUGAAAUGCGUAGAUAUGCGGAGGAACACCGAUGGCGAAGGCAAUCCCCUGGGCCUGCACUGACGCUCAUGCACGAAAGCGUGGGGAGCAAACAGG
rnacentral:rRNA from 1 species